rnacentral:rRNA from 1 species
GAGUUUGAUCCUGGCUCAGGAUGAACGCUGGCGGCGUGCCUAAUACAUGCAAGUCGAGCGAACGGACGAGAAGCUUGCUUCUCUGAUGUUAGCGGUGGACGGGUGAGUAACACGUGGAUAACCUACCUAUAAGACUGGGAUAACUUCGGGAAACCGGAGCUAAUACCGGAUAAUAUUUUGAACCGCAUGGUUCAACAGUAAAAGACAGUCUUGCUGUCACUUAUAGAUGGAUCCGCGCUGCAUUAGCUAGUUGGUAAGGUAACGGCUUACCAAGGCAACGAUGCAUAGCCGACCUGAGAGGGUGAUCGGCCACACUGGAACUGAGACACGGUCCAGACUCCUACGGGAGGCAGCAGUAGGGAAUCUUCCGCAAUGGGCGAAAGCCUGACGGAGCAACGCCGCGUGAGUGAUGAAGGUCUUCGGAUCGUAAAACUCUGUUAUUAGGGAAGAACAUAUGUGUAAGUAACUGUGCACAUCUUGACGGUACCUAAUCAGAAAGCCACGGCUAACUACG